rnacentral:rRNA from 1 species
AUGGCAAGAUCUGGUACAUCACAAGGCUCAGCCUCUCCAGUGGUACCAUGUUGGCGGUCUGCCUGCUCAGUGAUCAUCAUCAGUGGUAGGGUUGAACGUUUUGAGCAGGUCAGGGCAGACGGGCAGCGGCUUGUCCUUGAGGUAGCCGAGUGGGUUGGCCAUGCGGAUGUUGUCGCUGAUGCCAACGUUCCUGCUGAGGACUAUCUCGGCGCGGUCCCUGAGAUCCUGGAUCUCGUUGCAGUUUGCGAGGGGGCUCUGGACAAGAACCAUCUCGCAGAUAUCCUCCGGAUGGCUGUCCUUGAGCUCGAUUUUGUAAGUGCCAGUCUCGUCGGUUACACCGUCGAUCGAGCGCUCAACUUUCUCAGUGCCGAAGCGCUUGCACUCCAGCCUCACCUUGGCACCUGCAGUCCAUCAACAAAGUACCACUGA